rnacentral:rRNA from 1 species
CCUACGGGAGGCAGCAGUGAGGAAUAUUGGUCAAUGGACGCAAGUCUGAACCAGCCAUGCCGCGUGCAGGAAGACGGCCCUAUGAGUUGUAAACUGCUUUUGUACGAGGGUAAACGCAGAUACGUGUAUCUGUCUGAAAGUAUCGUACGAAUAAGGAUCGGCUAACUACGUGCCAGCAGCCGCGGUAAUACGGAGGAUUCAAGCGUUAUCCGGAUUUAUUGGGUUUAAAGGGUGCGUAGGCGGUCGGAUAAGUUAGAGGUGAAAUCCCGAGGCGCAACUUCGGAAUUGCCUUUGAUACUGUACGGCUAGAGAGGAGUUGCGGUAGGCGGAAUGUGUGGUGUAGCGGUGAAAUGCUUAGAGAUCAUACAGAACACCGAUUGCGAAGGCAGCUUACCAGGCUACUUCUGACGUUGAGGCACGAAAGCGUGGGGAGCAAACAGGAUUAGAUACCCUGGUAGUC